GAAAGCAUAAAAUAAUCUAUACAUCUAAGAAUUUUCUAAAGAAAUAAAGGGAAAGUUCCCUUAUAUCUGAUCUCAUAAUAUGGACUACAUAUACAAACUAAGAACACAAAUUAAAUAGAAUGUCUCAUGUCUAAUUAAAUAAGAAUUCUAAGCUAAAUAAAAGAAACGCUUGUGCGCGCGCGUGUGUGCACGAGCGCGCACAUAAUCAAGCACCAAUGUGACAAUCAAAUAGCAAAAAAUAAGUGGUAUCUUUCCUCGACAAACUUCGAGGGAAUGAGCAUAGCAUUUUUCAUUUGAUCUCAAACUUUAACAAGAUAAUUCUAUGUACGGAUGAGACCAAGCACAGACUUCCACAUCAGCAUCACUGCCUUGAUAUGGUCUUGUUACAAAGAUAUGCCAAUACCAAGACUAAAUCGUUUUCCAAGUAUCAAAAACGGUAUCUAUGCAUAAGCCUUUCAUCCCCCAAGAACUUUUGAGAAUCAUUGUUCAAAACAGUGAUAGCUAUGAUGUCCAUAAUCAAGUUUUCCAAGGAACUGAAAAAUAUUUGACAAACUAUGCUCCACUCCGUGCUCGAGGGUCUCGGCCAAGAGGUAUCAUGAGAUCCUUCAUAACCUCAUACUCUUCUGCAUUUAUCUGGGCACCAUCAAGGAGCUGGUGAAGCAUCAUCCUCCUAUUAGUCAUGUAUGAAGUGAGUGCUGGAAUCCUACAUACAGAUAGAGCCUCAACCAAGAGAAAUGCUAUGACUUGCCAUUGUUUCAUUCUGAAUGCAGGAAUUGCAUCAUAAAAGGACAUUGUAUCCAACAAGCGCCCCACUCCUUGCUCCAGUGUAGAUAUUGGUAUCGGCAACCUAAGAUCAGCAACAAGUCCAGGUAAAGCCCGAGCAAGACAACCCUCAACAGUAAGCUUGAUUUCAGAAGAACGGCCAUCUCUCAAGACAACCUUUCGAGGGUACUCCCUUCCAUUAACAGAUAAAUAAUCUUCAUGGGAACUUUCAUCGUCUCUCCCAUAUACAUAAGCCAAAGAAGAUGAAGUUACCCAUGCAAAGAGUGCCAUCCACAUUGUCGCAAAAGGGGAUAACGACAAACUGAAUCCUUCUGGUGGAGCAUCAUACCAUGAAUCCUCAGGGUCAAACAAAUCUGAAUGUGGAAUCCCUGGCCUUGUUGGCCACUUAAGAGAAGCAGAUUCUUGUUCAAGCAUGCCAACACUCUCUAUAUCAUGUGGAUGUGGUAAUAUGAUGACUCCAGCUUCAGACACUCCACAACCUUCCCCCCUCCCAAAGCAGAAAUUUCCUCUAAAAUACAUUUGUAAAUCUCCAGUUUAAGAAAUAUCCGCCCCAUGCAGAAAUAUCCUCCAAAAUACAUUUGAAACUCUCCAGUUUAGGAUAUAUGCUCCUUAAUUUACCAAAUUAUGCUAACAAUACAAACAUAGAUGAUUGGUUGAACCAAAUUUUUUAAUAAAAUUGAACCUCAGAAGCUAAAACAUAUUCAAAUUAAUGUUCAAAGAUUGAAGUGUGGCUACAUUUUAAAAUUGAACGAUUAAAAUUUUACAACUUUAACCUCAUGGAAAAAUGUGUUAUACCAUUAAUAAACUUGUGGGAUUAGAGUGCAUAUUUUCAAAAAAGCAUGAUGCAAGUAAAUGUUAUGCAAAACCUCAUUAUGGGAUUUGUAAUUAACCAAAAUUAUCAUAAAAACACCCUACUGGCAUCAGUAACAUCAGCAUCUCCGGACGCAAUAGCUUCUGCUGCCUGGCUUAUUGCUAUUGCACACGCUUCAGCUGAUUCAAAUCGUAACACGUUACCAUCAUGUCCCCCGUCCAUACUGUCUGGAAUACCAAGAACUGCCUUUGUAUCUCCCAUUUCCCUGAACUCACAAAGAUCUCUACUUCCAGCAUCAACUUUCUCAUCAGCCCAAGUAACAGUGCAAUUAGAUUUCUUUGCACCAAAAGAUUUAAGAGAGGGUUUGAGCAUGGAUUCACUCAAAUUAGCUGAUUUCUUAGUUUUAGAUUUUCCUUCAACUUCAGCAUUACUUGCAUUUGAACUGAUCUGAGAAGAAUUUGAAGUAGACAGGCCUUGACCAUUAAGCUCAUCUUUUGUGACCUUUUUUCUCCCCACCCCUUUUGAAUUUCUUGAUGUCUUAUUGAAGUCAUGCUUUCCUGGUGAAGAUGAUUGAAACUUUAAGCCUUUAUGAAAUUCUUUCCCUCUUUGCUCUUGUAAUUUCGUGGUAAAGGCGGUGCUUGUUGAACCAGAGGGAGCUUUUGAAAUGCUGUACUCAUCUUCAGUAAUUAUAGUGCUCAUAAAGUUCAUGUCAUCAAAGAAACAAUCUUGUUUAUUAACUGGUUUGGUACACUUGGCUUUUGAUCCUUCUUUGGGAUUAUUUUUUGAUGGUGAAUGUAUGGAAUCGUGAUCUCUCUGUGGAACAUAGCCUUCAAUUGAAUUUGAUGGACCAAUCCACUCUUCCAAAGGCACCUCCCCCACAUUGGUUUCCAUCUUCUCCUGAAUCUUCAAUUUAGACAGCCCUAAGUCCCCAUUUUCCCCCAAAUCUUCAGAAUCUAAACCCAAACUAUCAAACAUCCUUAGAAUCUCAUUAAGUUUCAUUGGAUUUAGAACAGAACAUCUCUCCUUUUGCAAGCUCCCUGCAAAAGCUCGACUAUUAACAACACAACUGGAAGAGCAAUACAUAUAUGUCUCAUGUUGAUCAUAAACCUUAUGCUCCUUCAAGGAAAUGCGAUAUCGACCCUUGUGAGAAUGAUCUAAUGGCAGAAAAUUUUUGCAAAGCGGAUAACCACAUAGAUUUGCAAUUGACCGCUCAAUAACAACAUCUUCAUAGUCACUACGAGACAUCAAAGAUCCAGCUGCAAAUAGUUGGUCUUCAUUUUUUAUGCCUUCAAGAAGGGAAAGUUGCAACCGAUAAACAGUGUCUUUCACGGUAAUUGAUUGAUCCUUUUCCAUUGGAGAAUAUAUUAUGAAGGAGAGAUCGUAUUGAGAAAUUAACCUUGAGUGAACUGAAAUUGUAAAGAACUAAACCGGUAUUGGGGAGAGGUUUGAGAGAAGCAAGUUG
rnacentral:misc_RNA from 1 species